GUGCGAUGACUGAUUUGGAUAAGUUUCGGCUGAUAAUUAUUGAUGCCAACUUUUGAAUAUUGCUGAGCAC
rnacentral:snoRNA from 14 species